rnacentral:lncRNA from 1 species
GUUGGGCCAGUGACAUGCAAGCACACAAUUGCACACACAGCCAUGGGGGUCAGUCAUUGGGAUCUAGGCUGGCAUCUUGCACUCCUGUAGCUGCAGAGGCUUAAACUGGCUCCUGAUGUGGCUCUCAUACUCCGUUGGGGGCCAAGGAGAGAAAGGGGGCAGGAGUUAGAUGGCUGGCUUCAACAAACAUGAAUCCCUGUGUGACCAAAGCUGGUAAAUUUGCAGGGGUUCUGUAGCAGCUAUGCUGGCUGUUGAUCACUUCUUCAGUGGCUACAGCUGUUUGGUUUGUAGAGGAGAUCACUGUGAACUGUGAUAGCUCCCACAGUGCCCCUGCUUUUCUUCCUUGCUCCUAACCAUGUCUACGUCUCUCAGCUUUGCUGGUUUGGAUGGUAUGAAACUGAAAUGAGAACUUCAUUUGCUGCCCUGGAAGGCUGGAAAAGCUGGUUGCUCGCCCCACUCUUUCUUCCUUGCCAUCCUUGUGAGCGUGAAGUGGUAUCUCAUUGUGGUUUUGGUUUGCGCUUCCCCAGCAAUUGGAUAUAAUUAGCCCUGAGCUAACAUCUGCUGCCAAUCCUCCUCUUUUUGCUGAGAAAGACUGGCUCUGAGCUAACAUCCGUGCCCAUCUUCCUCUACUUUAUGUGGAAUGCCUGCCACAGCAUGGCUCAACGGGCGGUCUGUAUGUUCACAACCGGGAUUCAAACCAGCGUACCCUGGGCUGCCGAAGCAGAACGUGCAAACUUAACCACUGUGCCACCAGACGAUCCCAACCCUCCUGCUUUUUUUUGGGUUUAAAUUUCAUCUAUUUUUCUAAUUCUUGAAAUGGAUGCUUAGAUAAUUGAUUUUCAGCAUUUUUCCUUUCUUAUAUACAUUUAAAGAUAUGACUAUCCAUUAAAGCAUGGUUUAACUGCAACUUACAAUUUUCAAAGUAUAAUAUUUUAAUAAUUAUUAGUUCACAUAUUUUUUGUUAUGAUAUUUUCUUUAACAUAUACUUGACUUAUAGUGCAUUUCUUAAUUUCUCUUUAUUUCUUAAUAUGUAUUAAUUUCCAAAUAUGUGGUGAUCUUUAGUUAUCUAUCUCUUGUUAAUUUCUCACUUAAUUGCACUGUGGUACUGGACAUAUUAUAUACCAUAUCAAUCUUUUGAAAGUUUUUGAUAUUUAUUUCAUAGCAUAGCUUAUAAUCAAUUUUUUGCAAAUGUUUUAUACACAGUUGACAGUAAUAUGUAUUCUAUAGCUAUUGAGUGCAAUCUAGUAUGUCAUAUUUGUUAAUUGCAUUGUUCCAAUCUUGUAUCUUUUAUAUUUUUCAUCUACUUAAUCUAUCAGUUAAUGAGAAAAGUUGUUAAAAUGCUCAGUGUGAUUGUCGAUUUGUCUAUUUCUCCUUAGAGUUCUAUCACUUUUAGCUUUAUAUAUUUUGAGGAUUUGUAAUCAGGUGCAUACACAUUUAAAAUUUUUAUCUUCCUAGGGAAUUAAAUCAUUGUGAAAGUUUCCUCUUAAUCCAGAGUAAUGGUUUCUACAUUUUGUCUACUUUGUCUGAUAUUAAUAUAGUUACAACCACUUUCUUUUGGCUAAUGUUUGUGUUGUGUAUUUAUUUUGCGUCCCUUUAUUAUAAACCUUUUAAUCCUGUUUCAGUUAUCCAUCCAUGAGUAACAAACCACCCCAAACCUUAGUGACUUAAAAACAGCAAUGUGUUCUCUAUCUUGGUUCUGUGGUUGAUUUGGCUCAGCUCAGCAGUUUUCAUUUAGGAGGGGAUCGCUCAUGUAGCUGCAGACUUACGGUAGCAGUUGCUGGAAUCAUGUGAGGGCUUGAUUUGGCUGGAUAGC